rnacentral:rRNA from 1 species
AUGGCCUACUUCAAUGAGAAAGCGAAGGAAGAUCCAGAUUUCUUCUAUAGGAUAAGAUUGGACGAUGAGGACCGUGUCAGGAACAUGUAUUGAGUGGAUGGUGCUGCAAGAAGAGCCUACAAACAUUUCCGAGAUUGCAUUUCAUUCGACGCGACGUAUCUCACUAAUAUGUACAAGAUGCCAUGCGCUCCAUUCAUAGGAAUAAAUAACCACAAUCAGUCGUUGCAGUUCGAAUGCGGGCUCGUUUGGAACGAAGACACGGAUGGGUACGUUUGGCUGUUCAAGACCUUCUUGGAGUGCAUGGAAGGACUUGCUCCGAUGAACAUAAUAACAUACCAGGAUUUUAGCAUGCGUGCAGGCCUAGAGGAGGUCUUUCCGUUGGCAGUGCACAGGCACUGCAGGUGGCACAUUAUAAAGAAGGUUGAGGAGACUCUAGGACCAUUCUUUGCUGACCGUCCAGAGCUGCACAAGGCAUUCGAGCUGUGCGUGGACCAUAGCUUGACGGUGGAGGAGUUUGAAAGGAGCUGGAUGGCCAUGAUUGAAACAUAUCAAGUCCAAGACAACGAGACUCAUGGUAGCCUGUGGGAGAAGCGAAUGUACUGGGUGCCGGCCUACUUCAUGCAGUGCUUCUUCCCGUUUCGGCAGACUAUGCAUCGCAGCGAGGGGUUCAAUGCUAUUUUGAAGCGGUACGUGAGCCCUGGCAACUCAUUGCUACAGUUUGCCAAGCAAUACACAACUUUGCAACAAAAAAUACUGGGAUCUGAGCUACAGCAAGAAGCGAACACCGCGCUAAAGCAGCCAAAAUUGCUAACAUAUUUACCGAUGGAGAGGCAAAUGAGCAAGAUAUACACCAACAAGAUAUUUAACAAGUAA